CAGUAGCGCGGUAAUACGUAGGGUGCAAGCGUUAAUCGGAAUUACUGGGCGUAAAGCGUGCGCAGGCGGUUCGGAAAGAAAGAUGUGAAAUCCCAGGGCUCAACCUUGGAACUGCAUUUUUAACUACCGGACUAGAGUAUGUCAGAGGGAGGUGGAAUUCCACGUGUAGCAGUGAAAUGCGUAGAUAUGUGGAGGAACACCGAUGGCGAAGGCAGCCUCCUGGGAUAAUACUGACGCUCAUGCACGAAAGCGUGGGGAGCAAACGGGAUUAGAUACCCGAGUAGUCCCUGUCUCUUAUAAA
rnacentral:rRNA from 1 species